UGUUGGCUCGACUCACUCAGA
rnacentral:miRNA from 3 species